AUUGAACGCUGGCGGCAGGCUUAACACAUGCAAGUCGAACGAGGGGCGGACGGGAGGGUAAGGCUUGGGAAUCUAGCUUAUGGAGGGGGAUAAAUAAGGGAAACUGUAGCUAAUACCGCGUACCAUAGGAUGAGCCCAAGUGGGAUUAGGUAGGUGGAGAGGUAAAGGCACACAAAGCAUACGAUCUCAAGCUGGUCGGAGAGGAUGACCAGCCACACUGGGACGGAGACAUGGCCCAGACUCCUUCGGGAGGCAGCAGUGGGGAAUAUUGCGCAAUGGGGGCAACCUGACGCAGCCAUGCCGCGUGAGUGAAGAAGGCCUUCGGGUUGUAAAGUUCGUUCGGUAGCGAGGCGUUAACUACAGAAGAAGCACCGGCUAACUCCGUGCCAGCAGCCGCGGUAAUAC
rnacentral:rRNA from 1 species